rnacentral:rRNA from 1 species
GGUUGCGAUCAUACAAGCACUAAUGCAACAGAUCCCAUCAGACCUCCGCAGCUAAGCAUGCUUAGGCGAGAGUAGUACUAGGAUGGGUGACCCCCUGGGAAGUCCUCGUGUUGCAACCC